rnacentral:tRNA from 1 species
GCCGACGUAGCUCAAUUGGCAGAGCACCGGUUUUGUAAACCGGAGGUUUCCGGUUCGAGGCCGGACGUCGGCU